rnacentral:rRNA from 1 species
AUUCUGUCAAAACAUGCACCUGAGUGUGUUUUGGAUUGUGGGAGUGUCUCGUGGCUUUUAUGAGCCAGCUCUCCUGAAAUACAUUAGCUUUGGGGGGGAGGUGUCAAGUCACUUCUGCCUUUCCAUUGGUGUGAUAGAUGAAUUAACUUAUCUACGCCAGGAAAGCAGGCUUCAGGUGAUGCACUGUGAUCUCUCUCUGCUCUCUAAUUGACAUUUGUCUGAUAA